rnacentral:lncRNA from 1 species
UUUGCACUGUUCCUAAGCCAAGCCCCGCUCACUUCCGAGGGGCUCUUAGCAGGAAUUAGGCUGUUGGGUGUGGUGAGUUGAGCUCAGUACUGACAGCCUGCUUAAAGUUUCACCCCCAGAGGACGAAGAGGCCAAGAACCUUGCAGAAAAGUUGGCCAGGUUCAUAGCAGACGGGGGUCCUGAAGUGGAGACCAUCGCCCUCCAGAACAACCGUGAGAAUCAGGCCUUCAGUUUUCUCUAUGAUCCCAACAGCCAAGGGUACAGGUACUACAAGCAAAAGCUGGAGGAGUUCCGGAAAGCCAAGGCGGGCUCCACAGGCUCCCUUCCUGCUCCUGUUCCCAACCCCAGCCUGCGGCGAAAGUCUGCCCCAGAAGCCCUGUCAGGGGCUGUGCCCCCCAUCACUGCCUGCCCUACUCCAGUGGCCCCAGCACCUGCUGUCAACCCCACUCCAUCCAUCCCCGGGAAGCCCACCGCCACAGCCACUGUAAAGAGGAAGCGGAAGAGCCGGUGGGGGCCUGAGGAGGACAAAGUGGAGCUGCCACCUGCAGAACUGGCACAGAAGGACACAGAUGCCUCACC